GACGAACGCUGGCGGCGUGCUUAACACAUGCAAGUCGAACGGUGAAGCGCCUUCCUUUUUGGUGGGUGUGGAUGAGUGGCGAACGGGUGAGUAACACGUGAGUAACCUGCCCCCUUCUUCUGGAUAACCGCAUGAAAGUGUGGCUAAUACGGGAUAUUCUGGGUCUGUCGCAUGAUGGGUCUGGGAAAGAUAUUGUUUCGGUGGGGGAUGGGCUCGCGGCCUAUCAGCUUGUUGGUGGGGUGAUGGCCUACCAAGGCGGUGACGGGUAGCCGGCCUGAGAGGGUGGACGGUCACACUGGGACGGAGACACGGCCCAGACUCCGACGGGAGGCAGCAGGGGGGAAUAUUGCACAAUGGGCGCAAGCCUGAUGCAGCGACGCCGCGUGAGGGAUGGAGGCCUUCGGGUUGUGAACCUCUUUCGCCAGUGAAGCAGGCCUGCCUCGUUUGUGGGUGGGUUGACGGUAGCUGGAUAAGAAGCGCCGGCUAACUACGUG
rnacentral:rRNA from 1 species